UAAGUUAGUCUAAAUGAAAAGAAAUGAGUUCAUUCAACUCAAAACAAUGAAACAGUUCAUUUUACUUAGAAAUAUGUCAGUGUUAUGAACUCAGAAUAAAAAGAAAGUUCUAAAUACUCAUAAUAGUUAUUUUUAAUUGAACUACUUAGUUUAAUUUAAGUUUGUCCUACUCAAACCACUUAAGUAUUUUGAGCGUUAGGGUUUACAGUGUACUCUUAUGGGCUGAUUCUCUUUAGUAGACAAUUGUAGUCCAAUUCCUGAGCAAAUGACUAUAUAAGCCGGUACUUUUUAGUGAAUCAAAAAGUGUUCCAGUGCAGUUUGAUUCCAGAUCAAAUGAGUCUUAUGAGUUGAUUCUUUUUUAGGAAAUCACACAGAUAAAAUGUACUUGACCAUAAGACUUAAGUCAUUGUAGUUAAUGACUGUUCAUACGGCAAUGUAUACUAUAAUUGAAGAUAAUGUAUGCAUUAUGCGUUUUGUCUGUAUUUUGAAACGGUCCCAUUAUUUGCAAUGAAAGCACAUUUCUUUUUCCCAAAUAAAUGUUGCUCAAAAGUAUUAAAAGAACUGUUAAUGGAACAGUUAAAGAACUAACUCAAUGCUUACCUCAUAAUAGUCAUAUGCUUUCUUCAGCCACAAAAACUCACAAGCUGCUAUUAGUCUCACAGUCUGAGAGAAAGUGUUGAACAGUGACAGCACUCUUUUUUUUUUUUUCUGGAGUGUGUAUUAUUAUAUUUGUAGAGGGCAGUGUUACUUGUGUAGUACUGUAUAUUUAAAAAGCAUUUACAUACAGUAAUAAUAUGUCUGCAGAUGGACAAGCAGUUAUUGAAACACAUUAUGUGCUUUUUACCUCUUUUAUCUAUCUAAUCAAUGUUAUUUACAAGGGUUUACAAAGGGUACAGUUCAUCAAAAUUCCAUAAAAGGAUUGUGAAUAGCAGUUUAUCACACAAUGUCAUCAGUUGUGUUGUUUUAUUUUCUUGUAUUCUGUUCAUGUUUAUUUUGUUUUUGUUUCACAUAUUUUUUUCAGUGAAAAGUACUCAUGUACGGUUCUGAGAACAUGACAAAUUGUUGCUCAGACUCAGAGAAGAUAACACGGGAGGGAUCCUUCCCCUUCCUGUCUCCUCUGAGUCGCUAAGCCAACCGUAUUUUAAGCUGCAAAACUGGAUGGAAAUUCACAGAGGCACUGGCGAAUUGUUCUUUUCGAUUUAAAUAAUCUGGAAACAUAUUCUUAUCUGGAUUAUAUUUCAAUUCUCUUCAAAUCCUGCACUCAAGGUUACUAUGGGUCUGUCUAUGCCAUCUGGGUGAACGUGUUCAAAAUGCUGAGCCCGGCUCCGACUGCCAAAACAGGCAACAGAUGGAGGGCGCAAACAACCAAGAGCCUGUGUGCUUUAGAGGAGGAUUAAGAAAAAACUCAGCGCCUGCACUUGUAUAUUCUUACCAUUUUGAGCAAAACCAUCAUGUAAAAAUUCCAGAUAUGCUUCCGCAGACCUCAGAUGAGCUAAUCUGCUGCGGACCCCCCUGAUUCCUGAGCUCCACCACCCACCAGGACUUUCCACAUUCCCCGCCUUUAAGUCAGCCAGCCAUUGACCAAUGAGACAAAAGUCCCCUAAUCCCUGAAUCAGGCCCAGUUCCUUGUGAAUGAUUCAAUUUCCCUCGUAUUGUAUCCAAACAAGGACCCGACAUGUUCCAAGCCCCUGUGUCCUUGUUCUUUGGCGUCAUGAUUCCCGGUUUUACCCCCUUUUUGACAGUGAAGAGAUCCCUCAGGGGUGGCAGUAUAGGAACAAUUUGAAAACAUGUUAUUCCCUGCUCAACCUUGCAGCCAGGGAAAAUAUCCUCUCUAAAGUGGACAAAGCAAAGAGUUAUGACCAUCUAUUUUGUUUUUAUGUUCCUGUGCUCCACUUUUCUUACUGAUUCUAGACAAUGAUGAUCAUUGUAUUUUAAUUAAGAAAAGGUAAACAUAUGGACAUCAUCUCAUAGUAUUCAACUGAAUCCCCUGGUUUGGUCAUACAGAGGACACUCACAUCUUCUGCUUGGACCUUUAGACAGUCUUUACCAGAGGCAGUUUCACAGAGCAGAAGCACAUGGAUUCAGGUUCAAAAAUAAUUGGCCUUGGGUUGACCGGAUUGUUGAAUUACCUCCCAUUACAGGAAAUCUGCCUUGAUGUAUAUAAAUCACAUAUGUCUUACAGAUGCUCACUCACAAACCCUGAAGCAUCGAAAAGUCAAUGUCAAAGACAAUCCAGUCGACAUUUUCAUACACUACUUAUAACCGCCAAGGAAAUUGAAGCAUACGGUGAAAAGGAUAAGAUGGGAAAGUAUUGACUUCCAAGCAACUUUCAAGUGUCAAGCUAUUUUUUGUGACUAAUGCAAAACAAGACCAACUUCUAUAAAAUACGUCCUUGUAAUUACUGAUAAAUAAUCGAUUCGUGAAGGCAACUGAAGUAAAGUGCAAUCAAUUGGGAGUAAUUGACCAGCUGUUUCAGUUUAACUGGGGUAAUUUUAGAUAUAAUUGUGCCAACACCUAUAUAACCUCAUGACCCUGAAAAGUCUAGUAAUUGACCAAUUGAUGAGAAGAAUCAAUAGAAGACAUGUGCUACCACUCAGAGCUAAUAGUGCUAUCAUUUGCUUUAUAGGCAUAGGACCAUCUGGGAUCAUGCAGUCCUUGCCCGUGGAGAUUUGGGCUGAACUUCUCAGACCUUUGACUUCUUGUAACAUGAUUCAUUGGGUUCAGACAAGUGCAACUGCCUAUUAACUCUGCAAAAAGGGUUUUCUUCUUUCAUUUUUAAUGAGCAAUGGUGCACUACUUCAAGUCAGCCCGCUGAAGAACUCAAUGGUUGUCCUUCAUUCUUGGUUGAGUUGGUUAGAACCUCAGCAUGUGCAGCCUCACUGUAAUUUUUAGCUUCCUUUGGUCUUAUAUAAAGAAAAGCAAUAAGGUUGUACUGCAUGCAUUUGAUUUUGGCUUCCAUUUUUAGGAAUCAUACGCAUAUCCUGAAGUAAGUUUCGGGUAUACACUUGCAUGACCCAUAAUAAUAUGUGCCUGAGCCAUGCAGUGCAUACUUUAUGAAUUCAAAACAACCUCAUUUGUUCUUACUUAAGUGGAUUGUCUUCAUUGCUGUCUGCUGUUCUGAGGGGAUUGUAUAAUAAUAAAUAAAAGAAGAUCCUCUUGAUUCAUCUUUAUUCUCUGUAAUUUACGUCUCGCCAUCUCUAUGCAAUGGUAUCGGCACUUUUCUUUGAGCCUUUCGUGUUAUCCCACAUCACAUUUCCAUCUCAAUGAACUGAUAACACACAUAAUCCAGACUUUAUAACACCACAUUCAACAUUCAUCCUUUAUAGUGUAAGAUUUUUUCCCUUCAGCUUUCAAGACCAAAAGACUUUAAAAUGCACUGAAAGGAACAUGUUAUUACAGCAAUAAAUCUUACCAUCUAAGCAAAGUACAAUAAGCAUCUCAUAAUUCAUUACAAAGAAUAAUGAACCUGUUAUAUUUGGUCAUUCAUGAAAUAUUUUAAUUUCAAACAUCUGUUGAGGAGUGUCAGCCUCAUGUAGUUAAUAUCAGAGUUGCAUUAACACAAGAUUUGUAGCCACCAUUGUCCAUUGUGAACAGAACAGACAGGAACAAUAUGUUGACAUGUAGGAAACGAAGUAUAAAAUACACUAUUUCCAUUUAUAUGAUGAGAAACAGCUGUAGAUCCAACUGUGACAUUUGGCACUAAGAUUGGACUAAAAUUAUGACCUAAAUUCCACUUGGAUCCAAUUCUCUGAUUGAUGUUAUUUGUACUGUAUCCCUCUCAAACUAGUGUAUAUUUUCAGAGAUAAUGCAUAUUAAAUCUUCCAUGCAUUUAAUAGCCCAAAUAAAAACUCUGUGGAGAAUCUGCUGGUGUUCCCUGCUGUGUUGAAGUGCCUCCUACAGACAGGGCACCCUAUGGCCUAUGGUAUUUCUGCCCUAAGCGCAGAACACCACGCUGGGCUGCUGUUGUUGAGGUUGGGCUGCUGGGGAGAUGGUAAUGACGCCCUUUACUUGGAGGGCCUUGGGAUCUCCUGCUCCCAGUUCUUUCAGACUUCUGCAGGCUUCUUGACCCCUGGUGGGCUUUAUAGAAGCUUUCUACAGCUCAGAUGCCCUCCUUUCUGGCUGAAGAUCAUCUAAAGUUAGCUGGUUAGUCUGCUUCUUUGAGCUUGGUAACAACACCCCACAUCUCAACAUCACUGUGGAUUGUACACCAAUAAAUCAUGAAUACAUUAUUCAUAGAUGAUAUCAGAACUGAAUUAUUAUAGCAUUACCAUGUUAUCAGAUGAGAUUGGAAUGUUCUUUUUUUCUUUUUAGAUCUUUUAGCUUUAUAUUUUCUCUCAAGACUGCAUUAGCGUCUGGCUUGCAGAUGAGAUGGGGAAAUUAGUAUUUAUGACCAGUUACGUGAAAUCCGCAGCAUGGGGAAAUUUGCCAAAAAUAUUGAUGACUCAUCCUGCAUUAGACACAUUUUUGUCGGAAUGAGAAUGUCCCUCCCACUAAUGCCAUCUGUAACAAACUGGUAAGCAGCAAAAUCAUGGUACAUGAGAGUGAUAUAAAUUUUAAAAAACGUCCCACAAUUAAUAUUGUGACUUUUAUAUUGUCAUUGUACUAAAGAAGCCAAUUAUUAGAUUUUCACAAUUAUCUCAC